rnacentral:rRNA from 1 species
CCUACGGGGUGCAGCAGUGAGGAAUAUUGGUCAAUGGACGAGAGUCUGAACCAGCCAAGUAGCGUGAAGGAUGACUGCCCUAUGGGUUGUAAACUUCUUUUAUAUGGGAAUAAAAUGUUCCACGUGUGGGAUUUUGUAUGUACCAUAUGAAUAAGGAUCGGCUAACUCCGUGCCAGCAGCCGCGGUAAUACGGAGGAUCCGAGCGUUAUCCGGAUUUAUUGGGUUUAAAGGGAGCGUAGGUGGAUUGUUAAGUCAGUUGUGAAAGUUUGCGGCUCAACCGUAAAAUUGCAGUUGAAACUGGCAGUCUUGAGUACAGUAGAGGUGGGCGGAAUUCGUGGUGUAGCGGUGAAAUGCUUAGAUAUCACGAAGAACUCCGAUUGCGAAGGCAGUUCACUGGACUGCAACUGACACUGAGGCUCGAAAGUGUGGGUAUCAAACAGGAUUAGAUACCCUUGUAGAC